AGCAAGUGAAUCUAGGGCUGUGACAUUAUUUGUGUUUGGUGUUUGGCCUUCAUGGCCCUAUCUAUGUAAGCCUUGCCCUUGAUGGUCUUCAUUUGUGUAAGACGAUAUGUGUGCAUGUAAGACUCUCGUUAACCAGCUUUUGUGUGUUCAUUGAGCAUUGAUCUCUUGGAUCACUGUACACGUGCAUUCGGUGACCACGACUUAUGAGUUGGGGUCCCCACAAUGCCCCAGUACAACAACAAACUCAUUCUGCCAUAAACUUGUCGACACGCAAAGUUGACCCCAAAAUACGCCCCUUGCCCUUAAUCUUUUACCACAACAUGUGCUAGCCCCUUCUACCUCCAGUAACUCCCUCUUAGCCAGGAAACAAUCAUUGGUGAGUAAAACCCUCCCAUUUUUCUCUUUGGACAACAUUGGCAUGACUCUCCCCCCACUCUUGUUCUAUUAUGUACAUGUAAAUGCCCCAAAUUCCACCACAACCUCAUUUGCAUGCUAAGGCUUCAAUCCAAACCCAUCUAUGGCAUGCUCAUGUGGAAAAUAUGAGCAAUUCAUCUAAACAUAGUUUUUGGCAGCAAAUGUAGCAUUGAACUACAAGUACCCUGUACACUUAUCUCCUAGGGAUAAUAAUUGGUGGUCAUGUACUCCUUUCAUACCUAAGAUCUCUAGACAAGGUUAUGUACUAAAUGCCCUUGAGUAAACCCCCUUAGAUUC
rnacentral:lncRNA from 1 species